ACCUAAAUAGCUUAUAAAUUAGAGCGUGACACUGAAGAUGUUAAGGAAGUAUUUUAUUUUUAGGUA
rnacentral:tRNA from 1 species